AUUAUUAUUUCUUGAUUGACAGAAAUGGAACCCAGAAGAACUAGAAGCUCUCUUCUUUUUUCAUCUUUAAAACCUAUUAGAAAUGCAAGGAUGGUCAAGUCUACACGUGUGCCUUCUCAUGAGUUGGCCAAGCUGAAGGCCUCAAAACCAAUGCUACAUUAGAUGAAUUUGUGAGUGAUUGAUUGUGAUGCCACUGACGGCAUUAUCACCCAUUAUCACAUCAUGUUUGCUGUUCUGUUUACCCUUUUCCCAGUUUAUAUAGGGGAAUAAAAAUGUGCCAUCAGUUAAGUCAAUGGAUGGCGAUGCCGCUACUGGUCUUUUACGAUGUCUUGAAAUCAGUUUUGAAUAAUAGUUGGAAUCUGGGGAAUCCUCACUCAUUAUCGAAGUAACUUUGCAGUCAACAUAUGUCGGCCAGUUUGUUCAGACAGGAUGUCCUUCACGCUUGAAGGUCGCGGGAAACAUUACGUGUAAAACUGUCAAUGCGGUGGUGUAGAGGUUGAUCGAGAACUGGACGUGUUGCAUCAUCAUCAAGUAAACCCACCCCCAGAAACGUCACCUGCAGAAAGAAAGGCCAGUUUGCAUUUCAAUCGAAGGUCAUGGAGAUCUUUACGUAAAACGUAUCAUGUUAUUCAUGUAGAGGUUGGGUGAGAACGGGACGUUUUGCAUCAUUAUCAAAAAGGUAAAAUAACCGCAAGGCUUAAGAGGAGGGGUGAGAAAAAGUCGUAUGAAAGGCGAGAGAAAAGUCGACAUCGAUCAGUCGAGCGGGUACCUCCGACACGGUAACAGCUGCUCUAUUUGCCAUCAGCUGCAUUCUUCAUCGUAUAUCAGUUCUCAAUCAUGGUCGUACAAAAGGGCAAGGAAAAGGCGAAAUAAUUCAGCAGCCGAGUGAGCAUCUCCGACACGGUAACAGCAACUGCAGUGCCCCAUUUGUCACCAACUGCAUUCUUCGUCGAGUUGCUAGUUUAAAUCAUGGUUAACUAUGGCGUCAUGCUGCUGUUGGGUGAUGCAUCGUUGAUGGCUGGUUCAGCCACUGCCCACUGGUGUGCCGACGUCUCCUGGUAAGGUGGAUAACAAAUUGCAACGCCGCCACCUUGCUACACAACAUGCGACACGACCAGUUGCUACACC